rnacentral:lncRNA from 1 species
GGCCAACGAAUCCUUCAAAUGAGCUACUGGCGAUAUUAAGCACAUCGGGAUAUACUCGCCUCCGAACCGGGGAAAACUCUCACCCAGGGCCAAAGCUCGUGAAGACUCACCCGAAGGCACGGCAGUGUGAUGAGCAAGCAGAUUCAUACAGCUGUGUUUUAUUAUUCAGAUUCAUACAGUUGUGUUUUAACAAGAAGCAGAUUCAUACAGCUGUGUUUUAGCAUUCAGAUUCAUACAGCUGUGUUUUAACAGCAAGCAGAUUCAUACAGUUGUGUU